GUCCACGCCGUAAACUAUGGAUGCUAGCUGUUAUGCGUAUCGACCCGCGUAGUAGCGAAGCUAACGCGUUAAGCAUCCCGCCUGUGGAGUACGGUCGCAAGACUAAAACAUAAAGGAAUUGACGGGGACCCGCACAAGCGGUGGAGCGUGUUGUUUAAUUCGAGGCUAAGCGAAGAACCUUACCCAGGCUUGACAUCCUUGGAAAUUCUGCGAAAGCAGAAUGUGCCUUUUGGAGCCAAGUGACAGGUGUUGCAUGGCCGUCGU
rnacentral:rRNA from 1 species